AAGUUUUCGGAUGGAAUUCGAUUGACUGAGUGGCGGACGGGUGAGUAACGCGUGGAUAACCUGCCUCACACUGGGGGAUAACAGUUAGAAAUGACUGCUAAUACCGCAUAAGCGCACAGUACCGCAUGGUACAGUGUGAAAAACUCCGGUGGUAUGAGAUGGACCCGCGUCUGAUUAGCUAGUUGGUGGAGUAACGGCCUACCAAGGCGACGAUCAGUAGCCGACCUGAGAGGGUGACCGGCCACAUUGGGACUGAGACACGGCCCAAACUCC
rnacentral:rRNA from 1 species